AAAUUGAAGAGUUUGAUCAUGGCUCAGAUUGAACGCUGGCGGCAGGCCUAACACAUGCAAGUCGAACGGUAGCACAGAGAGCUUGCUCUCGGGUGACGAGUGGCGGACGGGUGAGUAAUGUCUGGGAAACUGCCUGAUGGAGGGGGAUAACUACUGGAAACGGUGGCUAAUACCGCAUAACGUCGCAAGACCAAAGAGGGGGACCUUCGGGCCUCUUGCCAUCAGAUGUGCCCAGAUGGGAUUAGCUUGUUGGUGAGGUAACGGCUCACCAAGGCGACGAUCCCUAGCUGGUCUGAGAGGAUGACCAGCCACACUGGAACUGAGACACGGUCCAGACUCCUACGGGAGGCAGCAGUGGGGAAUAUUGCACAAUGGGCGCAAGCCUGAUGCAGCCAUGCCGCGUGUAUGAAGAAGGCCUUCGGGUUGUAAAGUACUUUCAGCGGGGAGGAAGGUGUUGUGGUUAAUAACCGCAGCAAUUGACGUUACCCGCAGAAGAAGCACCGGCUAACUCCGUGCCAGCAGCCGCGGUAAUACGGAGGGUGCAAGCGUUAAUCGGAAUUACUGGGCGUAAAGCGCACGCAGGCGGUCUGUCAAGUCGGAUGUGAAAUCCCCGGGCUCAACCUGGGAACUGCAUUCGAAACUGGCAGGCUUGAGUCUUGUAGAGGGGGGUAGAAUUCCAGGUGUAGCGGUGAAAUGCGUAGAGAUCUGGAGGAAUACCGGUGGCGAAGGCGGCCCCCUGGACAAAGACUGACGCUCAGGUGCGAAAGCGUGGGGAGCAAACAGGAUUAGAUACCCUGGUAGUCCACGCCGUAAACGAUGUCUACUUGGAGGUUGUGCCCUUGAGGCGUGGCUUCCGGAGCUAACGCGUUAAGUAGACCGCCUGGGGAGUACGGCCGCAAGGUUAAAACUCAAAUGAAUUGACGGGGGCCCGCACAAGCGGUGGAGCAUGUGGUUUAAUUCGAUGCAACGCGAAGAACCUUACCUGGUCUUGACAUCCACAGAAGAAUCCAGAGAUGGAUUUGUGCCUUCGGGAACUGUGAGACAGGUGCUGCAUGGCUGUCGUCAGCUCGUGUUGUGAAAUGUUGGGUUAAGU
rnacentral:rRNA from 1 species